rnacentral:rRNA from 1 species
GACAGAGGGUGCAAACGUUGUUCGGAAUUACUGGGCGUAAAGCGCGUGUAGGCGGCUAAGUAAGUCGGGCGUGAAAUCCCACGGCUCAACCGUGGAAGUGCACUCGAAACUGCAUAGCUAGAGUCCUGGAGAGGAAGGUGGAAUGCUUGGUGUAGAGGUGAAAUUCGUAGAUAUCAAGCGGAACACCGGAUGGCGAAGGGCCGGCCUUACUGGG